rnacentral:rRNA from 1 species
AUUGAACGCUGGCGGCAGGCCUAACACAUGCAAGUCGAGCGGAAGAAGGGCGCUUGCUCCUGGAUUCAGCGGAGGACGGGUGUGUAAUGCCUAGGAGUCUGCCUGGUAGGGGGGGAUAAAGUCCAGAAACGGGCGCUAAUACCGCAUAAGCUAUGAGGGAGAAAGGGGGGGAUCUUCGGACCUCGCGCUCUCAGAUGAGCCUAGGUCGGAUUAGCUAGUUGGUGGGGUAAAGGCAUACCAAGGCGACGAUCCGUAACUGGUCUGAGAGGAUGAUCAGCCACACUGGAACUGAGACACGGUCCAGACUCCUACGGGAGGCAGCAGUGGGGAAUUUUGGACAAUGGGCGAAAGCCUGAUCCAGCCAUGCCGCGUGUGUGAAGAAGGUCUUCGGAUUGUAAAGCACUUUUAGUUGGGAGGAAGGGCAGUAAGUUAAUACCGUGCUGUUUUGACGGUACCAAAAGAAUAAGCACCGGCUAACUUCGUG